AACGAACGCUGGCGGCAUGCCUAACACAUGCAAGUCGAACGAGACCUUCGGGUCUAGUGGCGCACGGGUGCGUAACGCGUGGGAACCUGCCCUUAGGUUCGGAAUAACUCCCCGAAAGGGGUGCUAAUACCGGAUAAUGUCUUCGGACCAAAGAUUUAUCGCCUUUGGAUGGGCCCGCGUUGGAUUAGCUAGUUGGUAGGGUAAAAGCCUACCAAGGCGACGAUCCAUAGCUGGUCUGAGAGGAUGAUCAGCCACACUGGGACUGAGACACGGCCCAGACUCCUACGGGAGGCAGCAGUGGGGAAUAUUGGACAAUGGGCGAAAGCCUGAUCCAGCAAUGCCGCGUGAGUGAUGAAGGCCUUAGGGUUGUAAAGCUCUUUUACCGGGGAUGAUAAUGACAGUACCGGGAGAAUAAGCGCCGGCUAACUCCGUG
rnacentral:rRNA from 1 species